GAUGAACGCUAGCUACAGGCUUAACACAUGCAAGUCGCGGGGCAGCAUGGGGGUUGCUUGCAAUCCCCGAUGGCGACCGGCGCACGGGUGAGUAACGCGUAUCCAACCUGCCCUUCACCACGGGAUAACCCGGCGAAAGUCGGACUAAUACCGUAUGUUGUCCAUUGACGGCAUCCGAUUUGGACGAAAGGUUUGGCGGUGAAGGAUGGGGAUGCGUCCGAUUAGCUGGACGGCGGGGUGACGGCCCACCGUGGCGACGAUCGGUAGGGGUUCUGAGAGGACGGUCCCCCACACUGGAACUGGGACACGGUCCAGACUCCUACGGGAGGCAGCAGUGAGGAAUAUUGGUCAAUGGGCGUAAGCCUGAACCAGCCAAGUAGCGUGCAGGAUGACGGCCCUAUGGGUUGUAAACUGCUUUUAUGCGGGGAUAAAGUGGCCCACGUGUGGGUUUUUGCAGGUACCGCAUGAAUAAGGACCGGCUAAUUCCGUG
rnacentral:rRNA from 1 species